CUGGCAGCCUGUGACUGGAUAGAACUCCGUCUCUGUGAUUGGCCGAAAUUCCAUUGCUGCGAUUGACUGGGUUAUAAGGUUAAGCUACAAUUUGUUCAUACAGCAAAUGAGAUUACACUUCAUUCUGUAUGAUGGCCACACUGGACAAGCCUCGUCGGGUUUUGUCCAAACGAGUUCAACAGUCCCAAUUUGUUCACCCUUCCAUUACAAAGAAAUAUCUAAAGCCACCUGACAACGGUGAUCGGCAGACCGAGAGAGGUGUGAGACUGAGGAGUUCCUGGCACAGCCAGGCUUGCCAUCCAUCCAGGAUGCUGUGAACUGGACGUGGAAAAAGCUUACUAUGACCGAGAUCUCAGCUCCUGGCAGUGACCCCAAUGUCUCCUAAAAAGAUGAUGGGGCACCGUGAUAAUUCCACCUGGAUUGUGGUAUGCUAACCACUGGAAAAGGAUGCUACGAUGCUGCACCCGCUGGCUCAAACUGUGGACAAGGAAGACACUGGAGAAUUGAUUGCCCUACGUUGCCUAGACAAAGCUCCUUCUAGAUAUUAGUUGAUGUCAGCCAUCACAAGACCUUUGGCCUUUCUGCUUCUGCUAAUUGCUGCUGGCUCCUGCAUCACUGAUGCCCUAACUGAAGGAUAAUUCCUGUCUGGGUACCAUUAAGUUGCUGGUUAUUAGAUCCCAGCAUAAGCAGGCAUUCCUCACUCUCACCUCUACAUGAAUUACUUCAAGUGGAUCACCACAGCAGAGACAAAUUUGCAGCCGUUCAAUUGCUUCCUAAGCGCUUGGGGACCAGAAUGCUAAAGAACAUCCCAAUUCCAGACAGUUCAGAAGCGGAGGACGAGCUGCCGGUCCACAGACCACUGCAAUGUCAGCUGGUCAGACUCUGCCCUGGGGGCUCACCUUGUUGACCAAACCCUUGCUGCUCUUUCCGACAACACAAGUCUCUCCCUACACUCCAUGGAAGAGUGCAGAAUAAAGUCCUCAAGCCCCUGUCAU